GAAAAAGAGAUGGAGAUAUAGGUUUUGUUAGGGAGGAAAGCUAUGGAGAGGAAGAAGAUGAAUUGGAGUUAGGGUUAUUGAGGAGAAAUUUAAAUUAGGAAAACCACUGGAGAAUCAAUGGAAUUGAGAUUUAUCAGAGUAGCGCAGCGAAAUCUAGGAAUGAAUAGCUUAGUGAUUGAAUUAUUUUAUUGUAUUGCUUGAAAUGUAGUUUGAAAUAAUAUGUUUGGUUGAAAAUGUUGUUAAAGAUAAUUAGUGGAUUUAUAUGCUUAAAUUUAUUUUA